rnacentral:lncRNA from 1 species
CAAUGUUCGAGACCUUUCCAGAUGAUCUCAAUCGAUUUUGUGGGUCCUCUUCCCACUAGUCGGAAGCAAAAUUCUUAUAUAUUAGUUAUAAUGUGCAUUUUUUCAAAAUUUUGUCUUAUUUUCCCAGUGCGUCGCGCUACUGCGGACAUAGUUAUUAAGAUUUUAGAGGAUUCUAUAUUUUUGGUUCACGGAGUUCCACAAACAAUCUUCUUGGACAAUGGGACACAGUUUAUAAGUUCAGCUACUGACGCGCUAUUUAAAAAAUACAAAAUCCCUAACGUUUUUUUCACGCCGAAGUAUACACCACAAGUUAACACGGUAGAACGCUACAACAAAACUAUUGUAACUAGUUUGUCUACGUUUGUUGGAAACGAUCAUAGAUCCUGGGACACCUCCAUCCCCAAGGUUCAGUUCGCGAUAAACAAUUCCGUAAAUGAAGCUACCGGUUAUACCCCGUCAUUUUUAGUUUACGGUAGGGAAGUAGUUUUAUGCGGAUCGCACUAUACGGACAAUGACCUGGGCGAUGAAGUGUUAUUCCUUCCUCGCGAUUUAUACGCUGAAAACUUAGGGUGUCUGCGUUCAGUUUUCAAUGAUGUGCAGGCUUCGUUAUGGCAUGCACAUGAGAAGAAUACUGCACACUACAACCUACGUAGGAAGCCGGCGGAGUUUAAUGUGGGAGACAUAGUUUAUAAGCGCGCAUUUGUCCUAAGUAACAAGGACAAAUAUUUUAGUAAAAAGCUUGCACCUAAAUUUGUCAAAUGCCGUGUAAUUGAAAAACGGUCUCCACUUAUCUAUGUGUUGGAAGAUAUGUCAGGGAAAAAUAUAGGUGUCUGGCAUAUCAAAGAUUUUAAAAACACUAAGUCUAGUGGUUAACAGAUUUUUUUUACAUUUUUUUAAAAUGAGUUGAGACAAGUCACCUUAAAUUAACAUCUUACGACUAGCAUUGGUUUUCUGUGCGAUAAUCACAGAUAACUUGUUAUAGAAGGUCGCGUCAACAUGAUUUUAUAUUGUUGAAGCUAUUGUGUAAGAGAGUUUGUUUGAUAUUAUGAAAGGAUUUUGAUAGUUGAUAGUAUGAAUGUGUAGUGUUAGUAGUAAACUAUAGACGAGUUUUUUUUUGAGAAAAAAACUCUUUCUGAAACGAGGGGGGUAAUGUAACAUUAAUUGUUACAUGUCUUAAUUCUUUUUAAUAAAAUGUUGAGUAAAAUAAAAUUAACAAAACUAUUUACAAAACUAAAACUAUUUACAAAAACUAAACUAUUUACAGUAGCAAACUAAACGCAUCAAAAUUUCUGGCCAGCUACAUUUUAUCACCACGCACGUAUUUAAACGAGCGACAUAUUAGGCACCCGGACCGCACCAGCGACUCCUCGCUUCCACGUCGCCGCUGUCACGGCUGCUGCCAGUGCGAAUCUGGAUAUCGAGGCGAACGCACGCCGGUUUUUUGAACACUAACUUUAAGUUAUUAUAACCGCCAUAGCGAUUAAACUUUUUAAGGGCGUCAUUACCGUUCCCUCGACUAUAUAUCUCGACAUAUAAUAAUACUCAGCAUAUUCAGUGUGUGUGAUUUAAACCCCGAUUGGGGUUUCACGUACACCUUAAAUCUCCUGCUUCCCCGCGGUGGACUGUAGCGGGUUGACCUUCGAACCCUACACCAGCACCUGAACCUGAUCUCGGCGCGCGGCCACUUGUUCCUGCAGCGACCAGUGACGUCAGGGAAGUGCUAGGCUAGUGAGGAGGUUAAUCACUGUAAACUUGUAUGUAUGGGCUCUAACCCAUUGUUAUUUCUGCCGACCGAGCUAUACUGUAUUUUGUGUGCGGUAAAUAAAUUGUCCAUCUUGCUACCUA